AGUAUUCAUUGGUUCAGUCGAUA
rnacentral:miRNA from 12 species